ACGGAAGGCAGCAGUGGGGAAUAUUGCACAAUGGGCGAAAGCCUGAUGCAGCGACGCCGCGUGAGUGAAGAAGUAUCUCGGUAUGUAAAGCUCUAUCAGCAGGGAAGAAAAUGACGGUACCUGACUAAGAAGCCCCGGCUAACUACGUGCCAGCAGCCGCGGUAAUACGUAGGGGGCAAGCGUUAUCCGGAUUUACUGGGUGCAAAGGGAGCGUAGACGGUUUGGCAAGUCUGAAGUGAAAUGCGGGGGCUCAACUCCUGAACUGCUUUGGAAACUGUCGAACUAGAGUGCAGGAGAGGUAAGUGGAAUUCCUAGUGUAGCGGUGAAAUGCGUAGAUAUUAGGAGGAACACCAGUGGCGAAGGCGGCUUACUGGACUGUAACUGACGUUGAGGCUCGAAAGCGUGGGGAGCAAACAGGAUUAGAUACCCUGGUA
rnacentral:rRNA from 1 species